rnacentral:rRNA from 1 species
AUGUUGAUUCUUCUUCUCGCGGUUUUGCUCGCCUUUCCAGGCCCAAUCAAAGGAGAACAUGAUUUGGAUGCAGGUGGUGGUGGUGUCGUGGCGCCUCCACCUGAUCCCGAGAGCAGUCAUCUGGCCCCUUCUCCUCAAACUUCUCCAAAGAGUAAUCCAACUCCACUUCCAGUGACUGGUCAUUUGCCUCAUCCUCGGCCUCUAUCGACCCUGCCGCCUCCACCAGGCUGUGUAGAAGUGAAGGUAAACAAAGGGCCGUGCUUUGACGUUCUUUGUGCAGCAGCAUGUCUCAUGGAAUCAUAUAAGGGCGGCCAGUGUCAUGGAAGUUUUCCUUUCGGUCCUUGCUAUUGUCUCAAGUGUCAAGUAGCAAAGACUAGUCCGUCAUUACAUUGA